rnacentral:rRNA from 1 species
UAGCCGUAAACGAUACUCGCUAGGUGUCGGCCACGGUGCGACCGUUGUCGGUGCCGUAGGGAGCCGUGAAGCGAGCCACCUGGGAAGUACGGCCGCAAGGCUGAAACUUAAAGGAAUUGGCGGGGGAGCACAACAACGGGUGGAGCUUGCGGUUUAAUUGGAUUCAACGCCGGAAAUCUUACCGGGACCGACAGCAACAUGAAGGCCAGGCUGAAGACUUUGCCGGAUUAGCUGAGAGGAGGUGCAUGGCGUAGUCGUGU